CUCUCUCUCCCCCUCUCCCCUCUCCUCUCUCUCUCUCUUCCCCUCUCCUCCCUCUCCCCUCUCUUCUCUCUCCCUCCUCCUUCCUCCUCCUCUAUCUUCUGUUUGUUGUCGUUUAGGAGCACUGUUGGAGAACAUUUCCCAUGGGUACCACUUCCCGCCUCCUCCGUCAUUAUCUUCAUAUGCACACACACACACACACACACACACACACACACACACACACACACACACACACACACACACACACACACACACACACACAGAAACAUUCACACACGUAGACACAUACAUCACCACAAACUUCUCCUAGCUUCCCUUUUGUUAUGUCCAUCGUUUGAUCAUUCUAGAUCUUACUAGAUGACUCUGUUGUGUUGCUCUUUUGGACUUCCUGUAGACAACUCACUCCUCAGUAUUAUGUCUUUGUCCAUCUGAAACAUAACAUACUGAAAUAACACAACAUACUGAAGUAUCAGAGACAACACAAACACAUACGCACACACACAUACACACACACACGUAUAUGCACACAGACACACACACACACACACACAUACAUACCUACAUCCAUACACACACACACACAUUAUCAAACCAAGUAUAACCUAGUUCAUUGGGUUAAGAUACAUUUGCAUUAAGCCACUAUUUUUAUGAUACAAUGAUAUCGUACAGUACCUUCAUGACAUGUUACCUUCAUGUAGCAUAGCCUUGAAGUAAUGUAUGACAUAUCGUAUGACAUGAUAUAUUUUGUGUUUUUUUUAAAAGCCCUAUUUUGAGGAUUUCUUCUGUUAGAGUUUUACAGCAUAUUUCAUCAUAAUGAAAUUAGAAAACACAAUUGUUCAUCACCAUUUGUUGACAUGUAUAGUUUACAGCCCUAGUUUGCAUAAUAAUAAUGAUGGUAACGAUAAUGAUUUCAUGUGCCUUAGCCGUCCUCUGUGAAUACUGGACGACAAGUUCAGAGGACAAUGUUUUCUCUUGAGAAUUGUGGAUAAUAAUUUAGGAUAAGUUUUUGCUUUCAUUUGUGUGCAUCUGUUCUGUAAAUUUUUUCAGUGUUAAUGCUCAUUAGAGGCAGAAUCGCAGUAUAUUAUUGUGAAAAGAAAUGAUGAUCCAUGCAGGGCAUGUUCUGUGUAACCUCGACACUGCUUUAUAGAGGGAACAAGAAUUUCACAAUAAAAGCACAAAAGCAAACCGCCUGCUGUUUUCCACUGCUUUUUAUUAACACGUGUUUCUGUAAUAAUGCAGCUCAAACAUUGAGGCACACAGGCAAUUCAAUUUAAG
ensembl:lncRNA